rfam:Oscillatoriales cyanobacterium TSR001 contig_80, whole genome shotgun sequence.
AAUAACAAAUCAAAUAAGCCACUGACAGCAGGUGUUAAUACCUUAAUUUCCUGCCGAGGCUAAGAAAAUAAAAAUUUAAGCUGAAAGUUAAAUUUAGAAAUUCUGGGAAUUUUUAAAGUUUACUUUUUAAAGUUUAUUUUUUAAUUCUUUGCCCCGGCUUGAAAGUCGGGGUUUUUGAUUGGGAGU